GGAAACUGCAUUGAAAACUAGAUAGCUAGAGGAUCGGAGAGGAGAUUGGAAUUCUCAGUGUAGCAGUGAAAUGCGUAGAUAUUGAGAGGAACACCAGUUGCGAAGGCGGAUCUCUGGACGGUUCCUGACGCUGAGGCACGAAAGCUGGGGUAGCGAAGAGGAUUAGAUACCCUCGUAGUCCCAGCCGUAAACGGUGCGCACUUGCUGUGGGCGGAUUCGACCCCGUCCGUGGCGAAGCUAACGCGUUAAGUGCGCCGCCUGGGGAGUACGGUCGCAAGAUUAAAACUCAAAGAAAUUGACGGGGGCCUGCACAAGCGGUGGAGUAUGUGGCUUAAUUCGAUGCAACGCGAAGAACCUUACCUGGCCUUGACAUGUAGUGGACCGGGUGCGAAAUCACCCUUUCCUUCGGGACUGCUACACAGGUGCUGCAUGGCUGUCGUCAGCUCGUGUCGUGAGAUGUUGGGUUAAGUCCCGCAACGAGCGCAACCCCCGUGUUCUGUUGCCACCCGGAUGAGAAUCCGGAGCACUCUGGACAGACUGCCUGGUUUCAACCAGGAGGAAGGUGGGGAUGACGUCAAGUCAGUAUGGCCCUUACGGCCAGGGCUGCACACGUACUACAAUGCCUGAUAUAAUGGGAAGCGAGACCGCGAGGUGGAGCAAAUCCUCAAAAUCAGGCCCAGUUCAGAUUGUAGGCUGCAACUCGCCUACAUGAAGGAGGAAUCGCUAGUAAUGCCGUAUCAGCUACGACGGCGUGAAUACGUUCCCAGGCCUUGUACACACCGCCCGUCACAUCAUGAAAGUCGAUUGUACCCGAAGUCGCCGCAUUAACCGCAAGGAGAUAGGCGCCGAAGGUAUGGUUGGUAAUUGGGAUGAAGUCGUAACAAGGUAGCCGUAGGGGAACCUGUGGCUG
rnacentral:rRNA from 1 species